rnacentral:rRNA from 1 species
GGAUGAACGCUGGCGGCGUGCCUAAUACAUGCAAGUCGAGCGAACGGACGAGAAGCUUGCUUCUCUGAUGUUAGCGGCGGACGGGUGAGUAACACGUGGAUAACCUACCUAUAAGACUGGGAUAACUUCGGGAAACCGGAGCUAAUACCGGAUGAUAUUUUGAACCGCAUGGUUCAAGAGUGAAAGACGGUCUUGCUGUCACUUAUAGAUGGAUCCGCGCUGCAUUAGCUAGUUGGUAAGGUAACGGCUUACCAAGGCAACGAUGCAUAGCCGACCUGAGAGGGUGAUCGGCCACACUGGAACUGAGACACGGUCCAGACUCCUACGGGAGGCAGCAGUAGGGAAUCUUCCGCAAUGGGCGAAAGCCUGACGGAGCAACGCCGCGUGAGUGAUGAAGGUCUUCGGAUCGUAAAACUCUGUUAUUAGGGAAGAACAUAUGUGUAAGUAACUGUGCACAUCUUGACGGUACCUAAUCAGAAAGCCACGGCUAACUACGUG